AAAACCAACGCCCUCUGGGCUCCUUGGUGAAUCAUGAUAACUUCACGAAUCGCACGGCCUUGCGCCGGCGAUGGCUCAUUCAAAUUUCUUCCCUAUCAACUUUCGAUGUUUGGGUAGUGGCCAAACAUGGUUGCAACGGGUAACGGAGGGUUAGGGCUCGACCCCGGAGAAGGAGCCUGAGAAACGGCUACUACAUCCAAGGAAGGCAGCAGGCGCGCAAAUUACCCAAUCCCGACUCGGGGAGGUAGUGACAAUAAAUACUGAUACAGGGCUCUUUCGGGUCUUGUAAUCGGAAUGAGUACAAUUUAAAUCCCUUAACGAGGAACAAUUGGAGGGCAAGUCUGGUGCCAGCAGCCGCGGUAAUUCCAGCUCCAAUAGCGUAUAUUAAGUUGUUGUGGUUAAAAAGCUCGUAGUUGAACCUUGGGCCUGGCUGGCCGGUCCGCCUCACCGCGUGUACUGGUCCGGCCGGGCCUUUCCCUCUGUGGAACCUCAUGCCCUUCACUGGGUGUGCAGGGGAACCAGGACUUUUAC
rnacentral:rRNA from 1 species